AUAAGGUCUAACCUGCCCACUGAAUUUUGUUUGAAGGGCCGCAGUAUUUUGACUGUGCAAAGGUAGCAUAAUCAUUAGUCUUUUAAUUGAAGGCUGGUAUGAAUGGUUGGACGAGAUACAAGCUGUGUCAUAAAAAUUAAAAUUUGAAUUUAUCUUUUUAGUUAAAAGACUAAAAUAAAAUUAAAAGACGAGAAGACCCUAUAGAGCUUUAUAUAAUUAAUAUUUAAAUUAUUAAGAUUUUUUAAAUUAAAAUAUUAUUUUAUAUUUUGUUGGGGUGACAAUAAAAUUUAUAAAACUUUUAUUUUUAUUAAACAUUAAUUUAUGAUUAGAUGAUCCAGUUUUAUUGAUUAUAAAUUUAAGUUACCUUAGGGAUAACAGCGUAAUUUUUUUUGAGAGUUCUUAUCGACAAAAAAGAUUGCGACCUCGAUGUUGGAUUAAGAGUAAUUUUGGGUGUAGAAGUUCAAAAUUUAAGUC
rnacentral:rRNA from 1 species